UGCAUGCCUUCCCUGCCCUCUGAGCUCUCCACACUGAGAAAUGAGUACGGGGGGGGGGUGCCUUCUCCUGUCACGUUCCCAUUCCUGCCCAUCUCCAUCAGUACAUUUACAGAAGCAUCGUCCUUACUCCUGUAACGCUGGCUUGAAUUCUUGUAUAAUUCUGCCAUCAGUAAAGGUCCAGUGAUUGUUUUCAUUCUCGAUAGCCUCCAAAUGAAGAUUGUAGCCUCAUAGCCCUCGCUAACCUGAGUGAUUCUGAAACUACACAAGCUGCAUCUGGGAGAAGGAGAAGUGUCUGGGAAGGGGCCCCGAAGAGAGGAAGAAGAACAGACGGAGACCAGGGGGAACUGGGAAGGAGCAAGUGCGGAGGCGAUCCUGAAGCUGCUGAGGAAGGAAGAUGGGUGAGCUUGCCUCAAGCUCUUUUGCUGCAGAAAUGCACGGAAAAUAUGAGAGGAUCCUGAAAGAAUUCUCUGGCAGAGAGCACAUCUUGUUUUCGGCCGGCAUUUGUUCGUCGUCGUCGUCGUCGUCGUCACUACCUACAUUCCCCCGCCGUGUUCACAUAUGAAAACAAUUAUUUCUCAGUUCAGGAAGUCAGUUUUAAUCGUUAGUUUGGCUUCAAAGGAUCCAGCACCCUUUACAAGGUCAGACUAGCUCCAAAGACAGCUAGGCAGAAACUCUGGCCUGGGAGUAAGCUGAGCUUUCCUGGUAGGCAACUGCUUAGAACUUGUGCUUGAGUCCUGGAAAUGAGGAAGAUGUCCUAUCUGAGGUGGAAGGGAAGAGUUCAUCCCUGAGUGCUGGAGAGACGGUCUCAGAGAAACAACUUCCCUCAGUCUCACCUGCACUCGGUAUUCAACAAGUUCCACUGGAGAGACUCGAGCCCCACACAGGGGUCAGGGCCCUGAUUUCUUGCCCCAGAUGUGUGACCCUAGGCAAAUCCAUCAGAAUCUAGGAAUUUCUAUUUACUCAGGUGUAUGUAGGGUUUCAACCAGUCCUUCUGCUAAGCAUAAAUACCUUCUGUUUUCCUUAUUGGCUCUGCACCAUGACAACUGUAAAUUAAUCUUUAUCUUCAGACAGCAAUAGAAUUAGACGCAAUCUGAGCAUUUUGCUUUGAUGGAUAUAACAGAAAGCCUUCACAUCUGUGCACGUGGUAGGGGUUAAUAUAAUGGAGAGCCCUACACACCAGGGUCUUUCAGAUUAUAGUGGGCAAAAGAAUCAGCUCAUUGAAAAUGCAUUGAGAGAUUGGCCCUGAGAAUCAGCGCAGACAGCUGCACCAUGUGGGUCAGGUCUGGAGGGGAUACUUACAGACAUCUGAGCCUUGGCUGGGCACCCAGGCUGUCCCCGCACAGCUGGGCCUGCUCUUCCUACCCAACUUAAGAGAUUUUGCUGCUGCUUCUAACAGUUAGGAAACCAGCUUGGAAGGCUUGACUCUGCAAGGGAGGGGCCACCUGGCCCAGGUUAACAGCCAGCUAGAGUGCUAAAGAGGGAAAUAAAAAUUAAGAACAUAGAUUCUGUGAAUCAUUCACACCUCGGCUCACAUAAAUACUGAUCGAAGCAGGCGGGAAAUCAUAGCACAUCAUGUUUUAGCCGAAGAUGUGGGUUAUAAUAGCACCCAUUUCCAUAAUUCUAACACACUGCAGUUUCCAUUUAAUGAAACGAGGCUGGGAAGAUAAAAAGUGCCAUUUGCCUGUGAGAAGGUUCUGAAGCAAGGCUAAAACCGGAGGGAGGUCGCUUUUGGAGUUUGGAAAUGAGGGUGGAAAUCAUGGGCAGAAAGUAUGCCACCGCCCUCCUUAAAUGUUCUGACAAGGUAGAUGCCGCACCAAAGAAAAACACACACAUUCAAGAGAGAACAAAGAUUCGAAUCUCGCCAGCUUUAGGACAGUGGCCAGCGUGUGUGUCAGGGCGGGGUGUCCCUCUAUCUUUGUUGGAUGGAGGCGUUAAGCACAAGCUGAGGAAACAGGAAGAAGGUGGAGGGGAUGUGGAGUAUGAGAAGCAGGCUUUCUGAAAACCAGGAGAGAGCUUAUAGCUUCAAAUAAGCUCCAAAGAUCAGGUAGAGCUCACUCCCUACCUUCUGCUGUAACAAAACCCUCCAUUCUGGGCGACUUAAGGCCACAGAGGUUGGGAAGAUGGCUCUGUGGCUAAGAGCACGUGUCCUGUGAGUAUAAGGACCUGAGUUUGAACCCCCAGCCCCUACUGAAAAGCCAGGCAAUGGCUACACCUGCCAGGGCAGAGACAGGCAGAUCCUGUGAGCUCGCUGGCCAGCAAGUCUCUCUGAAGUGAGGAGUUUCUGGUUCAGUGAGAGACCCUGUCUCAAGGAAGUAAGAUGAAGUGAUAGAGCAGAGAUUUGACCUUCUUCUUUGGCCUCUGGAUGUGCAUAAAUAGGGGCAUGCAGAACUGCACAUACAUGGUGCACACACAUAUACCACAUACUACACAAAGCAACACAAGUGCAUUGCUUCAGAGUUCUGGAGGCUGAGAUGCAAAAAUCAAGGUAUGUGCUGGGCCGGGCCGUGCUCUCUCUGAAACCUCCGUGAGGUUCCUCCUGCCAUUUCGCAGCCACUGGUGGUUUGCUGGUGAUACUCGGAGUCUGCUGGCCUGCAGCCACUCAGAUCCUCUGUCUGCUCUUACUGACACAAGGCAUUCCUCCUGUGCAUCUCCGUUUUCAGAUGCCAUUUUCUUGUAGGGGUGCCAGUCAUAUUAGCUGAGGGGCCCUCUCUACUCCAGAAUGACUGAAACCUAAUUAAUAACAUCUGCAACAACCCUAUUUUCAAUUAAGGUUCUAUAUUAAGAGACCAAGGGGUUAGGACCUCAACAUAUCUUUUGGGCAGUAAAACAGUUCAAUUUGUAACAGUGACAUUUAAAAAUUCACAGCAUUUGUU
ensembl:lincRNA predicted gene 3716